GUAGGUGGCAAGCGUUAUCCGGAAUGAUUGGGCGUAAAGGGUGCGCAGGCGGAUGUAUAAGUCUGAAGUAAAAGCCAUCGGCUCAACCGAUGUAAGCUUUGGAAACUGUAGAUCUAGAGUGCAGGAGAGGACAGUGGAAUUCCAUGUGUAGCGGUAAAAUGCGUAGAUAUAUGGAGGAACACCAGUGGCGAAGGCGGCUGUCUGGCCUGUAACUGACGCUGAGGCACGAAAGCGUGGGGAGCAAAU
rnacentral:rRNA from 1 species